GAUGGGGGAGAUCUAGUCAUAAACUCAGAUGAAGCUACAGCAAAGGCCUGCCCAUCUCCCUCCACUGCUAUGAAGAAGCCCCUAAGCUAGUCAGGGUUUUGACAUAUAGUCCCUCACAGCACGGCUAUGGAGAGGACUCCCAGGCCAGCAGACAAAUGCUUAUAGAUUAGGCAGGCUGGGAUUUAGGAACACCCAAGUGGAGGGAUGUCCUCAGUGGGCAGAUCAAGCCACCCACUACAGCAGACACUGCAACAUUUCAGCGCAUCUCCACACAAGGUGACCCUGUUCCACCUUGGUGUGUAACUGAGAGAAGCACUCCGGCCAUGCAGAGCUCUGCGAGGUGCCAUCUCCAGUGCUGCUGGAGAGCCUCGUGGACUGUUUGGAAGAGACAGCACAACAAAAAGCAUCGCAGCAGCAGUAAUGAUAGUGCAGGUGGCCUUCAUCAGGAACCACAGCUGCAGGGCAGAAAACCUACACAAAUGGGAAGAGAAAGAUCUGUGAAGAAAACCCACGGCAGCAUCUCAGAGCCUGGCACCUGCAGGAUGGAACCCACUUUUCAAAGGAGAAGAAGCAAUCUCUACACUGAGGACCUGACACACAACAGACACUGUGGAAGAACAUGGAAGAGCAUCUUUGGGCAAUUACACACUAUAGGAAAACAAUAGCUUUAGCCAGUUUUAAAUUUUCUGCCUCUCAAUUUCAUUGCAUUACAUUUCUCCUGACUUUUUCUGAGAAAAGGUAAAGAGAUCUCCAUAGCUCUCUUUAUGCCACUUUCUUUCUUUCUUUCUUUCUCUCUCUCUUUCAUAUCCCUUCUUCUCUCUGCUUUCUGGUCAUAAUGGUAUUUUCUAACUAUACCUGUUACUGAAAGCACACAAUCUACCCGUUAUAAGCAAAUGAGCUAAACAUGCCUUGAAAUGACAGAUAAAUCUGAAUGAGAUUUGAGACUGAGAUAUUCUAAAGGAUGUUGUCAAAAUAUUUAUGACACGGAAGGAGCUCAUUUGAAGCAUCAGAGAAGUAUAGCUGAAGAUCAUGAAGAAAAACUUGAAUAAUUUUGCACAGAUUCACGGAGUAUGGAGAAUGCAUGUUGCCAGACUGCUUGUUUGCAUACACUACACUGCAGAGUUGUUGAAAUCCAACUUAUUUCACCUGCCAAACCCUCUGAGACAACAAAUCUUCUCUGGCACGCCAAUCGAGUUUUUAACAUCCAGAUAAAAUCAGUACUGUUGUGUCAGAUCCCUGAAAGAGAUAAUACAGUACAUGAGGGGUUAUUCAAGUCAAGCUGACCGAUAAUAGAUCUUGCAAGUUUUCCUACUAUCUUCAGUGGUGAAAAGCACAUGAGACAAACUACUCUUUGGGAGGUAUUUCAUAAUAGCAAAGGGUCUUGUAAUAACUGUAUUAUGAUCAAUCUUCAAUAGGAAGAGAUUGAUUAGGCAUCUGUAUUUUGUCUAGUGCAAGAGAACUAUGAUUAUUAUGGAAUAACAUCUAGAAAACUGACUAAUAAUAAAUAUAUUAAUGGCAUUUAGACA
rnacentral:lncRNA from 1 species